AAGAACUUAGUGCUGCAUGUAAAUACCAGAACUGGAGUUUAAGUUUCAAAGUACGGGAUCUGUGUAAAUAAAAGUAUCUCAACAAAUUGAUAGCAUUUCCUAUCAAAUGGGUGUAGGGAGCAGAGCUGUCAUUUUUACUUAGAAAUUAUGGCAUCAGCACGUUCAAACUUCUCAGGUGUUGGCUUUCCAGACUUGCACAGUUACCUACCGUUACUUGAUUUUCCCCUUAACUUUCCUGAGAAUUUGGCAGCCAAAGCAUUUGUAGAUCAACUUCUUUAUUUUUGCAUAAUGGUACACAAUCAUACUCUCUGCCUGGGAAAAACCAAGUAAAUGACUUCCAGCUUUAAAAUGAAAUGUCUGUGCUUGUAUGAAAGAAUUCUUUUUGUUCUACAUAAACAAAGUUUGACAGCUCGACAGGACUGAAAGCAGAAUCUUGGCCUUUUAAACUGGUAAAUUUGACAAGUUUUAAACUUGUAAAUGUAGUAAUUACAGAGCAUCAACAGGAAGGCCUAACAAUGUUCCCUGUCUUCUGUAAACUGUUAAUGCUUUGGAGCAAAUAGUGAGGCUCUGAAACCAGAGCUGUUCCCGGGAUACUCUGAUAUCCCACUGGGUAGGGGAAGAGUUGUUGCUCUGGGCCCGUGAGCUCUUGAGGUUGUGUGGCUGGUUGAUUGUUUUGGUCCUCUCUCCUCUUGAACAGGAACCAUGCCCAAGAAAGAUAAUAAUAAAUAAAGAAGGCAAAGUGAAUUACAUGCAGCUGAAGAAGGAUUUUGACCAGAAAAAGGCAACAAUACAGUUUCAUCAGCCUCAGAGAUUUAAGGAGGAGCUGUGGAAGAUUCAGGAGAAGCUGGAGUGCUACUUUGGGUCUCUGGUGGGGUCCAAUGUUUCCAUCACUGCCCAGGGAUCCCAGGGCCUUCCUCCUCACUAUGAUGAUGUUGAGCCAGGUGACUUACUGUACUUCCCAAGAGGGACCAUCCACCAAGCUGACACUCCUCUUGGGACCUCCCAUUCCACACACGUGACCAUCAGUACCUACCAAAACAAGUAAUUAUUCUUUAUCUUUUGUUUUGUGUGGCUUUCCUCUGCCAAGUGAUGUGUGUGAGUAGUACAGACCUGAGAUGUGGUGAAGUUCUGGGGCUUGGGGGAAGGAGGGGAGCAAGA